UCCGAGUUGACCCCGGCAGUCUCCUAUGAGUCCCCACCCUCACGUGCUGGCAACAUAGGACGAGGGUUGCGCUCGUUGCGGGACUUAACCCAACAUCUCACGACACGAGCUGACGACAACCAUGCACCACCUGUGCACGGCCCUUACGGACCCGAUAUCUCUACCGGAUUACCGCACAUGUCAAGCCUAGGUAAGGUUCUUCGCGUUGCAUCGAAUUAAGCAACAUGCUCCGCCGCUUGUGCGGGCCCCCGUCAAUUCCUUUGAGUUUUAGCCUUGCGGCCGUACUCCCCAGGCGGGGCGCUUAAUGCGUUAGCUGCGGCACGGAACUCGUGGAAUGAGCCCCACACCUAGCGCCCAACGUUUACGGCGUGGACUAC
rnacentral:misc_RNA from 1 species